UCUGCAAUUGCAAGAGCUUGAGCUGAGGCUACUGGAUGGUUGAUGAACUCUGAAGUGCAGGUAGUAUGCUACAUGAGGGGCAAGUUUUUCACUAACACCACAAGGGUCUCUGGACCAAUGGCUGGAGUUUGAUAAUAAUUCUUACUUCAAAA